rfam:Lupinus angustifolius cultivar Tanjil chromosome LG11, whole genome shotgun sequence.
AAUCCAUGGUUCGGGCAAUUCCUGAGCAUAGACUUAAAUCGAUCCCAUGCUUCGCAUAGGCUUUCCUCAUAUGGUUGAAUAAAAGUAGAGAUUGCAGUCUUUAAAUC